UACGGAGGAUGCAAGCGUUAUCCGGAAUGAUUGGGCGUAAAGCGUCCGCAGGCGGCUGUGUAAGUCUGCUGUUAAAGCGUGAGGCUCAACCUCAUAAAAGCAGUGGAAACUACACGGCUAGAGUGCGUUCGGGGCAGAGGGAAUUCCUGGUGUAGCGGUGAAAUGCGUAGAUAUCAGGAAGAACACCGGUGGCGAAAGCGCUCUGCUAGGCCGCAACUGACACUGAGGGACGAAAGCUAGGGGAGCGAAUGGG
rnacentral:rRNA from 1 species